AUUGAACGCUGGCGGCAGGCCUAACACAUGCAAGUCGAGCGGAGCGGCGGACGGGCGAGUAAUGCCUAGGUAUCAGACUGGUAGUGGGGGAUAACGUCAGGAAACGGACGCUAAUACAGCAUACUAUCAGAUGAGCCUAGGUUGGAUUAGCUAGUUGGUGGGGUAGAGGCCUACUAAGGCGACGAUCCGUCACUGGUCUGAGAGGAUGAUCAGUCACACUGGAACUGAGACACGGUCCAGACUCCUACGGGAGGCAGCAGUGGGGAAUAUUGGACAAUGGGCGAAAGCCUGAUCCAGCCAUGCCGCGUGUGUGAAGAAGGUCUUCGGAUUGUAAAGCACUUUAAGUUGGGAGGCGUUACCAACAGAAUAAGCACCGGCUAACUUCGUGCCAGCAGCCGCGGUAAUAC
rnacentral:rRNA from 1 species